GGUAACUGAAUGGGGUAUGUCUGAAAAAUUAGGUCCAUUAAAUUAUAAACAAAGGAUGGGAGAUGGAUAUUCAUCAAAUAGAUUAUCACCAAAAACUAUAGCUGAAAUAGAAGUAGAGGUAAAAGCAUUGGUAGAAAAAGGAAAAAAUUUAUCUGAAGAAAUAUUAAGAAAACAUAGAAAAGAGUUAGACAGUUUGUCUUUUGCACUAUUAGACAAAGAAACAUUAUCAGGUGAAGAGAUUAAAAAAAUUAUAGAUCCUGAUAAUUCAAGAGAUUGUUCAAUGAAAAUAGAUUCUAUUAAGAAAUAUCAAAAAAAUGAGCCAGUCAAAGAUAAAAAUGUUAAUGGUAAAAAAAAUGUAUCAGAUAAGAAGGGAGAAAGUGGAAAUAUAAGGGGAAGUACUAAUGGAUUGGAAAAUGUUCAUGACAAUGAAAUGAAAAAUGUUAGGAUUAACGACGUUAGUAAUAAUGGCCAAAGCACAAGUGAUCGAGUAGGUAACAUUUCUCUUGAAAAAGAUGUUGAUAAUAGUAGUGAUGAUAAUAGUAGUGAUGAUAAUAGUAGUGAUGAUAAUAGUAGUGUUGAUAAUAGUAGUGGUGAUGGUAAUAGUGGUAAUGACAUCAGUAGGGAUAGUCAUAGUGGUAGUGAAAACAGCAGUAGUAACGAUAAAAACAAAAGUAAUAACUUUAGUGAUAGUAAUGAAAACAAUAAAGAAGAAGAAAAUAAAUUUAUAAUUUUUGAUGAGAAUAAAAAAAAUAUCAUUAAGAAAUAUGCAAAAAGCAUUGGUAAUAAUGUAAAGAGUAAAAAGAGAAAAGCAAAAAGCUUUGAUAAAAACAUAAAAAGAAAUAAUAUAUUUAAAAUUAUAAACAACCAUAGUUCUCAGGGUGGUAGCCAAAAUGGCAAUUUCGAAGAUAUGCAAAGUCGUAUUGAAUUAUCAAGUGAAUUUAUCAAAAGUUGUGACUCAGGAAAAUCGACUGAACAGCAAAAUGGUCAUAAUAAUAGUAGUGGUAGUAGUAAUAGUAGUAGUAGUAGUAGCAGUAGCAGCAGUAGUAGCAGUAGUAGUAAUAGUAGUAGUACCAAUUUUGUAAAAAAUAUUAAUGAAGUUUUUAAAAGCCAUAUAAAAAACCACACAAAUUGUGAUCAAAAUGAUGACAACAAUAAUUAUAACCUUGAUAAAACAAAAAAAGAAUCUGUUAACAAUUUCAAUGAAAUAGUAGAUAUCUCACAUAUAAUAAAUGUGGAAGACAUGAAGAAAUUUAAUAUAUUUGAACACAACUUGAAUAAAUUAUUUUUAUUUGAUAUUUUUAGCAAUUAGGGUAAACAUGAGUAGUCCAUAAUGCUACUGUUACUACGUUGAUGAUGAUAAUAAUAAUAGUAGCAGUAACAGUUAUAAUAAUAAAUGUUUUUUGUUUUUUUCA
rnacentral:lncRNA from 1 species